rnacentral:rRNA from 1 species
UCACCAGAACGGACUUGACGGCAAGGGACGAAAGCUAGGGGCACGAACCGGAUUAGAUACCCAGGUAGUCCUAGCCGUAAACGAUACUCGCUAGGUGUCGGCCACGGUGCGACCGUGGUCGGUGCCGUAGGGAAGCCGUGAAGCGAGCCACCUGGGAAGUACGGCCGCAAGGCUGAAACUUAAAGGAAUUGGCGGGGGAGCACUACAACGGGUGGAGCCUGCGGUUUAAUUGGAGUCAACGCCGGA